GGUCAAAAAAGAGACUGAAAAUUGCGCGCUCUCGCGAGAUCGCGUAUACUUUUCGCGUUGACGUAACACAGUGUGCUUUACGGCUACCACCCGUAAAACCCUGAAAAAACCUCGCUCCGGCGGGGUUUUUU
rfam:Klebsiella sp. RIT-PI-d NODE_3_length_487539_cov_38.7172_ID_5, whole genome shotgun sequence.